UAUUUGGGUUUUAAUUUUGUUGGGUUCGUCUUAUCUUCGUUGAGUCCAUACCAAAAGAUAUUUCGCUUAAAUGAAACGCCCAAUUUUCUAUUUGGAUUAGACGUGUGUUCAUCUUUGCAUCUCCAAAGCUUAUGGCGAUUAAGGUUUCGGAAUGAUCUUUCGUCUUCUUCUUCAUGAUAUGAAAUGAUACCAGUUACAGAAUAAUCAACUUACAACGAUUCAAUAAUCCCCCCCACGAUCUCUAAUCAAUGUGAUUCCUAAUUUUCUAAGGCAGUGGAUUCGACUAUAAAAAGGUGAUUUCUUUUUUGCAGCUUUUGUUUUUCCGAUCGACAGCAACAAACUUUCAGCUUGGGUUUUGUGGUUUCAGUGUCAGAAGAAAGAACAAGCACUCUUCGACGGUGUGUUUUCAGAUUAUGAUUAUGAUGGCUCUAUGAUCAAUCGCUAACACUACUCAAGAAUGAACGAACUGAAUAAGCUUUUCUAUUUUGAGAAUCAUCCUCUCAUUCAUUCCUUUUAAAUUAACCAGUAAACUAAUCUGUGAGUUAUGGCAAACGAUUUGGUCUUUCUGGGAGGCCAGGAAUGUUCACCGUGGUGGAGAGCUCAUGGGAAUUGAUAUGCUCCUGCUGGAUGCUCAGAUAUCUUAUUUAACUCCGACUUUUGCUCAUACAGAAUUAUGAAAAGUUUUAGCAAUUGAGUUUGAUUAAUCCGGCGACCAUCUUUCCCUCGACGCAUACGCAAAACUUACAAAUUAAUGCCUGGUGUGGGAGACCUUGAUAAGAACGACAUACACAAAUUCCUUAAAGACGUUGUCGGCCGAACAUGCACUCAAGAAGACACGCAAGGCUAGCUACUCAAUUUGUCAAAAUUAUGACCUUUUUAUAUUCUUUGUCCUUGCUUCAUCUAUCAUGUUUCCCAACUUUUAAGCAAUUAAAUAGUUCUUCCACUAACUA